rnacentral:rRNA from 1 species
UACGGAGGGUCCAAGCGUUAUCCGGAAUCAUUGGGUUUAAAGGGUGCGCAGGCGGUAAAGUAAGUCAGUGGUGAAAUCUCUCGGCUCAACCGAGAAACUGCCAUUGAUACUGCUAUACUUGAAUACAGUUGAAGUAGGCGGAAUGUGUAGUGUAGCGGUGAAAUGCUUAGAUAUUACACAGAACACCGAUAGCGAAGGCAGCUUACUAAACUGAUAUUGACGCUCAUGCACGAAAGCGUGGGGAGCGAACAGG